UACGUAGGUGGCAAGCGUUGUCCGGAAUUAUUGGGCGUAAAGCGCGCGCAGGCGGUCCCUUAAGUCUGAUGUGAAAGCCCACGGCUCAACCGUGGAGGGUCAUUGGAAACUGGGGGACUUGAGUACAGAAGAGGAAAGCGGAAUUCCUGGUGUAGCGGUGAAAUGCGCAGAUAUCAGGAAGAACACCCGUGGCUAAGGCGGCUCUCUAGUACGGUACUGACGCUGAGACGCGAAAGCGUGGGGAGCAAACAGG
rnacentral:rRNA from 1 species